rnacentral:rRNA from 1 species
AUAUAUAUAGCACUGAAAGGCAAAAAUCCAGCCAUAGCCAUCUGCGGAACUGUUGUCCGGUACCAGGGAAGUGGAGGAAUCUCCCUAGGGUAUUUGGUGGUACGGCAAGGAGCUUGGAAUUCACUCUUGCUGUUUUUACCAGCAAUGCCUCCCAAAACUAGUAGAGGGAAUGUGACUAAGGUCCAGAUCAGCACAAUGACACAGAUGGUGCCAAACGGCAAUGCUGCUGUUGCACUAUAA